CGCUGAUACCGUCGUGCCAAGAAAAGCCUCUAAGCAUAUCCAUAGUCGUCCGUACCGCAAACCGACACAGGUAGAUGAGAUGAGUAUUCUAAGGCGCGUGAAAGAACUCUGGUUAAGGAACUCUGCAAACUAGCACCGUAAGUUCGCGAUAAGGUGUGCCGCAGCAAUGCGGUCUCAGCAAAGAGUCCCUCCCGACUGUUUACCAAAAACACAGCACUUUGCCAACUCGUAAGAGGAAGUAUAAGGUGUGACGCCUGCCCGGUGC
rnacentral:rRNA from 1 species